rnacentral:rRNA from 1 species
UACGUAGGUGGCAAGCGUUGUCCGGAUUUACUGGGCGUAAAGCGUACGCAGGCGGCUUUGCAAGACAGGUGUGAAAUCCCCGGGCCUAACCUGGGAACUGCAUUUGUGACUGCAUGGCUAGAGUUUGUCAGAGGGGGGUGGAAUUCCACGUGUAGCAGUGAAAUGCGUAGAUAUGUGGAGGAACACCGAUGGCGAAGGCAGCCCCCUGGGAUGUGACUGACGCUCAUGUACGAAAGCGUGGGGAGCAAACAGG